CUCUGCAUGUGAAUCUUGGAUCUAUAUGGACACUGCUAUAUGUUACUGUCAUGAUUCUCUGCUCUUCCAUGAGCUCAGACUUGGCACCUUAUUUUACUUCUGAGCCACCUCUACCGUCCAGAAAGGUGGUGGACCUGUAGAACUACAUUGUUCUGCCAAACCUGUGACCACUCAUAGCUCAUGGUUGCAUAAUGGAAAAAAGGAUAGAAAUAUGGAACAUACAAAGCUUCAUCAGGGGACUUUGACAAUGCUUUCUCUGAACUUCUCUCUUUUGGGUUUCUACCAAUCCAUUGCCAACAAUAGCGUUGGUAUUAUUUUGAGUGGCCCUGUAACAGUAUCCGUGGCAGUUUUUGGUGAUUUUGGUUCAUCCACAAAGUAUGUUAUUACAGAGGAGGAAAAAGUGCUGUCAGGAUAAUAGAAACGA
rnacentral:lncRNA from 1 species